AAGAAAGGAAGGAAAGAAGAGGACUAGGAGAAGACCCAGAGGAAGCACCUGGAGCAGAGAGACACAGGAAGAAGGAGUCAUCCUUGCUUGGAUCUGUAUCAGGGGAUCAGGAGACAUGGAAGAAGACCCUUGAAAGAGACAGAGACAUGGGAUAGGGUCAAAGUUUGUGAAUAUGAAGUCAAAGAAAUUUGAAGAAAGGUGAUUCAGGAUUGGAAUGAUGGAUUGAUGAAGUCGACAGAGCCUGACUCCUUCCAGAUCACAACUCUUCUUUCCAGAGAUCUCAAAGAAGGAAUCUGCAUUAUUACAGAUGUCCUUUAACCAUGAUUCCCAGUUGUGGGAGACUCUGAAUUCAAUGUGGAAGAAAAGAAUGACAGGAGAACUACAUAAUGAAUAUAAGGAGCCACA